rnacentral:rRNA from 1 species
UACAGAGGUCUCAAGCGUUGUUCGGAUUCAUUGGGCGUAAAGGGUGCGUAGGUGGCGCCGUAAGUCAGGUGUGAAAUUUCGGAGCUUAACUCCGAAACUGCAUUUGAUACUGCGGUGCUUGAGGACUGGAGAGGAGACUGGAAUUUACGGUGUAGCAGUGAAAUGCGUAGAGAUCGUAAGGAAGACCAGUGGCGAAGGCGGGUCUCGUGGACAGUUCCUGACACUGAGGCACGAAGGCCAGGGGAGCAAACGGGG